GUGCCUAUUAAUAAAUAGGUAUGAGGAAUGCUUCUAGGCCUGAUCUGCAGCAGCAAAACUGGUGAUGCACGAGUUUGUCCUCUGUGUGAGUGUAUCCCACAUAUGCCCACAACUAGAGCUCAACCCCACAGGCUGAUUCCCAGCAAGAGCUGUGGUCCCCUAGGCAAGGAGGAGCAAGAACCAUUUGUCCUCUGCCUUGAGAGACAGAAACCCCAGGAAUCGAGGCCCUUUCUCUCUUCUGACUGGGAGCAUCUGACAAAUGAAGGAGCUGCUCCAGCAGGAAAGAGUAUCCAUGUCCAUCCCACAGCCCUGACAGCUUCAACCCCGAUUGCUCAUCUGUUUCCAAGUACAACUGAGACAUUUUGCUGGUGGGCAAAGAAGUCAGGGACACUGCAUCCAGCACCCUGCAGCAGAGGAAACAUUAGUACUGCUGUUGUUAGCCUUGUUAUUUUCUCCUAAUAAAAAGGUGGUCAUGACUCACUCCAUUAAGAAACAAAGGCAGAGCUGUAACCUACUGAAAGGCAGUUGUUUGGAUGCUCAGCAUUAGGUGUGUAAAAGGAGGAAGGUCAGCUGCAGGUCAGGUCUGAUGAUAUAAACCCUGCCACCAGCACAGGCCAAACUUCAGGUACUCUCCAGAGAACUUGUUUUCUGGGCUGGGGUAUUUUGCCCCGGCUUCAGAACUAUCACUUCAAGCAGGAGUGUGGAGGGGAAAAAAGCUCUCUUUCUCACCCCUCCACGUUUCACUUGGGUUUCCUGAGAGGAAAUGAUACUGUGACUGCGCUGGCCCCCUCCUUCCUCCCCGGAGGGAGGAGCACGCUAGCAUCUGCCCACAGCACCUCUUCCCCUCUCUAUGCCCCACUGGGACCAGUUUGCCAGCUGAGCUGUUACUGGGGUCUGAGUCCCACGGGAAGCAGGCUGCUUCUCAGAGAGGAAGCAGCAGCUCCUGAAGCUGGGGGCUGAGAGGCAGGAAAGGCGGGUUGUGUUCAGGUGGUGUGGAGGUUUCCUGUGUGAGCAGGACUAGGUCACACCACCCCUGCCCAUGCCAGAUUUUCCAUCUAGUCCAUGUGAAGGUUUUUGGCACAGCUGUGGUGACCCAGUUCUGACGGGAACCGUGCUGGCACGUGAGUCUCCCCCAGCCAUGAGGCUCUGACAAUGCCCAGCUGCGUCCCAGGGUGGAUGCAGGGAAAGGGAAGGAGCCAGGCUGCCGUGAUGGCAGUGGCCAGGUGAAGACAACACCCACGCUAAGAUGCGCUGUGAACAUCUGCCCCUACCCACAAGCUACUUCUAUUUUUGUUCCACCUCAUACCCUGGCUGACUCAGAGGAGGGGAGUCGGGGGGUCAGGUUAGAAGGAGCCAGAUGGGAGGGCUGUAGGGGGAUUGAAAGAGGAAGAGGAGGAGGAGUUGCUUCUAAACCAGUAGUUGCCAUUCUUUCAAUCAGCUUGAACAUUUUCUUUGCACAGACUCUUUCAUGCUUCUCUGUUUCAGCUGCAGGCAAUUUGAGGCAGGGAUGGCACUUCCUGCCUGCUGUUGAGGUGAGCAUUCUUUCAGGGCACCAUCAGAAUAAAUGACACCCUGCUCUUAGAUAGCUCCACUGUCAUCUGCCCAGGCUGUAAUGAGCUUGGCUGAAGCUCAUCCUUUUGUUUAACUUCUUCUAGGAAUUUCCACUCUUCUUUUUGGUCUCUUUACAAAACUAUCUACAAGGAAAGGGCAAGUGCCAAAUUUCCUAAUUCCUGUGCGUCUUAGUGUCAUGACUUCUGGACACAGGCACAGUCAGUGGUCUGUGGUGUAAGUUUUGCAAGUCCUUGAGACACAAUCUUGCAGCCACAAGGAAAGGGACAUUAGACUCUCCCCUCAAAAAGCCAUACCAGCAAUUUUCAUGUUGCAGGUGGCCCUCUCAUCCUUGUCCCCAUUGCUUCAGAGCAUUCAUUAAUUUUGCAGAAAUGACACAUCUUGCUUUGUCCCAGUCUGUUACUCCUUGUUUGCUCCUUAGCUGCCAGGCUGUAAACCUUGGGCCAAGUAACUGGAUCCUCGGGGUUGUUCCCCAGGAACUGAUCACUCGCUUACCAAAGCUGCCUUGAUGCAAACCAUGGCCUGAGCAGGGGACCCAACUCUUUCCAAGGGGAUCUAGGAGCGAACAGCUCCCAUCCUACGAGCAGCAGAGCUCUCGCGGGCAGGCCUGCCUGGGCUCAGGCUUUGCUGGGGGUGAGGAUACACAGUGAGGGGGGAAUAAGGGGAACUGAAACUCCAUUCGCAACCUGGUUCAAGAAGCCUGCCCCAACGCUGCCAUUCCUUCCUUUCUUCCUUCCUUCCUUUCCUCCUUCUCCUCUGCCCCCCCCGGCACGCUUCCCUACUCUCCUGACAGUCUGAGGAGGGGGCGGGGGUGAUGUCGGGAUGAGCCUCAGCCGAUGAGUGGAGAAUUUUUGCAGCAUUUUUCAGCUUCCUCUGCCUCUGAGCCUGACCUACAGCCGCCAGGGAGGGAGGGGAUCCCCGCCAGGGGGCGGUGCGCAGGGCGGGGGAUGUCCAUGUUUGGGAGGCGGGCGCGUCACUCCCCUUAUAUGGGCAGUGUCGUCACGGCCCGGCCUUCCAUUCAUAUAAAUACCCGGCGGCGCCAGCUGGGAUUCCCUACCCGGGCUCGGUGCGGCCCCGCGGUGCCUCUGUCCCGUCCCGUCCCAUCCCAUCCCAUCGCCGCCGGCUCCGCGCUAGCACCGGGCACCCUCCUGCCGCCUUCGCCGCUCCUGCCCCGGCUGCCGCG
ensembl:lncRNA